rnacentral:pre_miRNA from 1 species
CACGUACUCCCUCUGUCCAAAAAUACUGGUCAUCAAAAUGGAUAAAAAGAGAUGUAUCUAGAACUAAAAUACAUCUAGAUACAUCCCCUUUUAUCUAGUUUCAUGACAAGUAUUUCCGGAUGGAGGGAGUAUGUU